GAUGAACGCUGGCGGCGUGCCUAAUACAUGCAAGUCGAACGCAGUGGGGACGGGUGAGUAACACGUGGGUAACCUCCCAUCAGAGGGGAUAACACUUGGAAACAGGUGCUAAACCGAUCCUGAUGGAUGGACCCGCGGUGCAUUAAUUAGUUGGUGAGGUAACGGCGCACUAGGGCCAAGACGCAUAGCCGACCUGAGAGGGUGAUCGGCCACACUGGGACUGAGACACGGCCCAGACUCCUACGGAGGGCAGCAGUAGGGAAUCUUCGGCAAUGGACGAAAGUCUGACCGAGCAACGCCGCGUGAGUGAAGAAGGUUUUCGGAUCGUAAAGCUCUGUUGUUUGAGAAGCGGUAUCUAACCAGAAAGCCACGGCUAACUACGUGCCAGCAGCCGCGGUAAUUCC
rnacentral:rRNA from 1 species